UCCUGUAUCGAAGAUCUAGGUCACUAGUGGAUUAUGAAAAUGCUAAUAAAGCACUGGAUAAAGCAAGAGCAAAAAAUAAAGAUGUUCUGCAGGCUGAAACGUCCCAACAAUUAUGUUGUCAGAAAUUUGAAAAAAUAUCUGAAUCUGCAAAACAAGAGCUUGUAGAUUUUAAGACAAGAAGAGUUGCUGCAUUCAGAAAAAAUUUAGUGGAACUGGCAGAGUUAGAACUGAAGCAUGCAAAGGGUAACCUACAGUUGCUGCAGAACUGCCUGGCAGUGUUAAAUGGAGACACAUAAGCCACACUCUGCCUUCCAGUUAAAAAGGGCUGCCUUCCGUCAGAUUUUAUUUUUUUUCUUAAUGAUGCUAGACAUUUACUGCUCGCUGGAAACAAAAGAAACAGCUGACAAAGUGCAUCUACUCUCCCUUUUUCUGAGAAACAAUGGCGCGGUGCCGCCCUCGGGUGCUGUGGGCUGCACGAUGGGACCUGCGCGCCUGCGCCGCAGACAGCUGAUGAUCAUCGCGCCCUCCUCCUCUUCAGAAGCCCAAAGUACUGCCUUUUUUUAAAGUAGCCUCUAGAACUGUGUUUAUUUUAUGAAUAGUAUUCCUUAUGGCUGCCAAUCUUAUUUACCUUUAAGUAAUUUCUGAAGUUUAACCCUUUCAAAAUACAUUGUGUAAACAAGAUAAGGAUUGCCGUUACCUUUUUUUAAAUUUUGUUUUAAAAAAACAUUGUACACCACCUUAGUUCACUCUUGUAUCCUGGUAAAGCAUCUUAAUGAGACUUAUUUUUAAUUAAUGAACGUUUCUUAGAAGUUUUGGGACAGACUACGUAAUCUUUAUAAGUGUGAUUUCUGAAGAAAAGCAAAUGCAUUAGUAUGUUUGCCUUAAACUUGUAGACUAAACGAACUAUUGUCCAAUAAACAGUGAUAACAGUAAUCGUUUUUUAACUCUGUGGUCACUCUAAAAUUUGGAGUAGCUAUAAUCUACUCCUAUAUUACGCUUUUACAGUGCAGGUCUUAGUUUUUCUUUUUUCUUAUUUCUUUUAAAAUGGCGUAUCGAACCAAGUUCACCACUUUACAAAAGAAUGAACUGCUUCUCUGUGUGCUUUUAGCACUUCAUAUAAGAUGGAAUUGGGCAGAGACAGGUUAGAGACAGCUGUUUCUAAAACAGGAACAGAGAGUAUGGUCUGUUGCGCUUUCCAGGAUUCCACCCCUAGUUCAGCUAAUUAACCGUGCAACAUACACCAGUGUAUAUAGACUGGUAUGUAGAGAGAAAGAGGCGUGCUAUAGGGAACAGCACUUGUCAGUGGGGGAAGAGUUGGAAUAUUUGGAAUAAAAGUUGCAGUACAAAAAGGAUACCGUCAGUAGCUACAUUACAGAUACUAUUGGCCUUUCUAAUGUGAACGAACAUUGUUAUUCCUAGAUUAAAAUUAGAUUGCGUGGUUGGAUUUUUCCACACUAAGUUGUUUCCCGUGUGGAAACCACAGGCAUCUGGGUUGGUCACCCUUCCACCGCGUUCCUAGUUUGUUUUCCCAAACCGUUUUUAAGAACACCUGCCUGGUUCUCAGGACUAGUCGCUAUGAUUCCAGCCUUUUCUCCUGCAUGUCUCUUGCCUCACGGGUGUGCUGGGUCAGUGUUUCUCUCUUUUAUUGACGUUCCUCAUUGCGUUUGAACUGUUGAUGUUUGUGUUGCCUGAGAGAUUGUUUUGUCCUCCAUGUCCCCUUCACUGGUGAGAAUAUGCCCCUGCGAUGCCCACCACUGGGUGAACGUGGGGUGGAGGGGCCCUAGCUUCUGGAUUUGGGGGCAGUCCCUUCAGUGGCUGCCCUUGUGGCCUCAGACCACAAGGUUCACUCGACCUCUCUGCCUUUGUCUCUACCAUGAAAGACAUAUUGACCUACCUCACAGGGGUGUUGUGAGGAUUAAUAAAUGUUGGUACAGUGCUUUGGAAAUGUGAA